rnacentral:rRNA from 1 species
GCGGAGGGAUCAUUACACAACAAAAUAUGAAGGCCUGGCUUUGCGGCCGGCUGAAAUAUUUUUUUCACCCAUGUCUUUUGCGCACUUGUUGUUUCCUGGGCGGGUUCGCCCGCCACCAGGACCAAACCAUAAACCUUUUUUUUAUGCAGUUGCAAUCAGCGUCAGUAUAAACAAUGUAAUUAUUACAACUUUCAACAACGGAUCUCUUGGUUCUGGCAUCGAUGAAGAACGCAGCGAAAUGCGAUACGUAGUGUGAAUUGCAGAAUUCAGUGAAUCAUCGAAUCUUUGAACGCACAUUGCGCCCUUUGGUAUUCCAAAGGGCAUGCCUGUUCGAGCGUCAUUUGUACCCUCAAGCUUUGCUUGGUGUUGGGCGUUUUUGUCUCCCUCUUUGCUGGGAGACUCGCCUUAAAACGAUUGGCAGCCGGCCUACUGGUUUCGGAGCGCAGCACAUAUUUUGCACUCUGUAUCAGGAGAAAAGGACGGUAAUCCAUCAAGACUCUUACGAUUUUUAACUUUUGACCUCGGAUCAGGUAGGGAUACCCGCUGAACUUAAGCAUAUCAAUA